AUACUCUAUAGUGAACUCAUUAUUUCUUACUUGCAGUUGAAGUGGUGUGCUUGGGUUGCGCUAUACUGCUCCUGCAUCAGCUUUGCCAACUCGAGAGUCAAUGACGAUACGAAACAAAUGCUCAGCAGCUUCAUGUUGUCCAUUUCUGCAGUUGUGAUGUCCUACCUUCAAAACCCACAGCCAAUGACACCUCCAUGGUCCAAUAUAUAAAUAGUUCUAUAUUAUCGAUUGUUUUUGGUUGAAUGGAAAUGUAAAAUUGCCUCACCAUACUUGUAUUAAAAUUGUACUGCUGAAUGACAGUGACAAUUUUAGUUUUAAUAAACUAGCUAAUGGUGCCAGGUUUGUAUUAUGAUGUGCAAUAUGGAACAGUGCCAACAUUUGAUGAUGUGCAUGAGUUACAAAAUGGCUUGGUUUGUUAAUCUUUUAAUUUGUGUAGCCUGCACUAUAUAAUUCUUGUGUUAUACUUCCCAUCCAAAAGUUUCUUGUAAGCAGCUUGUCUUUUUUUUUCUUUAACAAAUGGACAAAUUUGUAUUGUCCCAUAACAUUAUCAUGUCAUUCAUGCCAGUGUAAAAGGCAAUAGCAUGAAGGUCAAAGCUUGAAAUAUCCUGGAAUAUAUGAAGUACCAUACGAGUUGAUCCUCGAGUGACAACCACAUUAGUACAGUAGAUAGCCUCCAUAUUAGACAUAACAGGAAGACUUGAUCACCACGUUAGAAAUAGAAGAGUGAAAGGGAAUUGGGAGUGGAAUGGUAGGCAGUCAGUAUGGGGGAAGGGAGACUUUUGGAGUACAGUACAGUACUGUCCAUUCAGUAGAGCCAGGCUGUCACCUGAUCGGAUGACGGGCAAAGUUAUCAGUCACUAGCACUGAUUUUAUAGUUUUCUUCGAGGUGACAUCAACUGCAUAAUAUCUUUUUGAUCAUGAAAUUACAUUAACUCCAACCAGUUACUGCUGGCUAAUAAUUCUUAGACAUAAAGGAAAGAGGACAAAUCAGAAGAGCAUGUUAAGAUAGGGCUACCUGAAUAGGUUUCAGUUGUGGUUACUCCAUCAGAGGGGCGUUCAUGGGGAUAAAGACAGAUUCUACAGUAAAUUGUUAAUUGCUCUUUUAGGACUGCCUCCUCUUCCAUUUUGCUUAGUUAUGCAAAGUUGUUGUUUUAUGGUUACAAAGGAAACAUAUCAUUCCUUAAUUUCUUAUUUUGACUGUAUCAGAAUUUAGAAUUUCUAAAAUAGUUACAGGUUGUAAGUACAGUAUGUAUAACAGUUUAUACAGUACUAUACUUAGUGUAUAAAAUAUAUAUUAAUGCAGGCCAUAUGUAUUAUUGUUAAAUAUGUACUUUUGUAUUUCAUAGUAAACCUUUUACCAUAAUAUAUAAUUAUCUUCUCCUUUCAAUAGUGCAUUUGUCAUGUUGAAUUAUAUGGUAUAUCAGGAUUUUAUCGGCACUACCUUGUUGACUGCGUGUUCCUCCCGUUACUAUACUGUAUACAGUAUCUCUCCUUCCCAUUACAGUAUUACGCUGAGAUGUAUCAGUAAGGUGGUUGGGCUCACUGGCUCAAGCAAAGAAUAUUCACUAUACAAUACUAUAUUGAAUAUAAAUUCAGUGGAUUUUGUACUACAUGGGAACCUGGUCCAAGAUAGGGAUUUUAAUCUAGCCAGUGACCUGUACAAUGAAUUUGGCAUCUAGAUAAUGCAGAAUUCCUCCAAGACUGAUAAUUUUAAAUUAAUAUUACUAAAAAAUUCAAACAGUGCUUUUUCCAUGGGAUUUCUGCAUCAAAUUAUGCACAAAUGUAUGUC